CAUAUUUUUAUCACAUACAGCGCCCUACACUAAUAAUCAGGUAGUAUUGAUAGCUUUAAAUCGUGCCUGCGCUGAGUGUCCAUUGGCCACUCCCACUGAUCUGUUCAUAUUGAGCACAAUGGAAGGAACAGGACUGGCUGAGACAUGUCGGCCACUACCGGAAUAGCCCACAGUGUGGUUACCUGUAAUAAACGUGCAGCUAA